rnacentral:tRNA from 1 species
CUAGUCUAGUGGACAUGGCAUCUGCCCGGUAAGCGGAACAUUGUGGGUUCGAUUCCCAUCCCUAGA